CCUACGGGCGGCAGCAGUGGGGAAUAUUGGGCAAUGGGCGCAAGCCUGACCCAGCAACGCCGCGUGAAGGAAGAAGGCCUUCGGGUUGUAAACUUCUUUUGUCAGGGACGAAGAAAGUGACGGUACCUGACGAAUAAGCCACGGCUAACUACGUGCCAGCAGCCGCGGUAAUACGUAGGUGGCAAGGGUUAUCCGGAUUUACUGGGUGUAAAGGGCGUGUUGGCGGGAGUGCAAGUCCGACGUGAAAUUCCCGGGCUCAACCCUGGAACUGCGUUUGAAACUGUUCUUCUUGAGUGAUGGAGAGGCAGGCGGAAUUCCGUGUGUAGCGGUGAAAUGCGUAGAUAUAUGGAGGAACACCAGUGGCGAAGGCGGCCUGCUGGACAUUAACUGACGCUGAGGCGCGAAAGCGUGGGGAGCAAACAGGAUUAGAUACCCGUGUAGUC
rnacentral:rRNA from 1 species